rnacentral:rRNA from 1 species
CGCCUUUUGAUAAAUAAAUUUAAAAGGUCCUGCCUGCCCAGUGAUAAUUAUUCAACGGCCGCGGUAUUAUGACCGUGCAAAGGUAGCAUAAUCACUUGUCUUCUAAAUUAAGACCAGCAUGAAUGGCAAGACGAAAGCCUAACUGUCUCCUUAAGUUAGUCAAUGAAAUUGAUCUUCUCGUGCAGAAGCGAGAAUAUAUAUAUAAGACGAGAAGACCCUGUGGAGUUUUAAAAUAAUAUUAUAUAAAUAUCUUAUAAUAAUAUGGUUUUUAGGUUGGGGCGACCAUGAGGUAAAAAAAACCCCUCAAGAUAAUAAUUAGAAGGACACUUCAAAUAAAAAGUAAUACUUAUGCAUGACCCAAAAAUGAUCAACGAACCAAGUUACCCCAGGGAUAACAGCGCAAUCCAUUUCUAAAGCUCAUAUUAACAAAUGGGUUUACGACCUCGAUGUUGGAUCAGGACACCCAAAUGGUGCAACAGCUAUUAAAGGUUCGUUUGUUCAACGAUUAAAGUCCU